UACGGAGGGAGCUAGCGUUGUUCGGAAUUACUGGGCGUAAAGAGCUCGUAGGUGGUUUGUCGCGUUGUCCGUGAAAACUCACAACUCAAUUGUGGGCGUGCGGGCGAUACGGGCAGACUGGAGUACUGCAGGGGAGACUGGAAUUCCUGGUGUAGCGGUGGAAUGCGCAGAUAUCGGGAGGAACACCGGUGGCGAAGGCGGUUCUCUGGGCCUUACCUGACGCUGAGGAGCGAAAGCGUGGGGAGCGAACAGG
rnacentral:rRNA from 1 species